UACAGAGGGUGCAAACGUUGUUCGGAAUUACUGGGCGUAAAGCGUGUGUAGGCUGCUGUGCAAGUCGGGUGUGAAAGCCCCGGGCUCAACCCGGGAAGUGCACUCGAUACUGCAUAGCUAGAGUCCCGGAGAGGUUGGCGGAAUUCUCGGUGUAGAGGUGAAAUUCGUAGAUAUCGAGAGGAACACCUGUGGCGAAGGCGGCCAACUGGACGGUGACUGACGCUGAGACACGAAAGCGUGGGGAGCAAACAGG
rnacentral:rRNA from 1 species